rnacentral:rRNA from 1 species
AGCAGCCGCGGUAAUUCCAGCUCCAAUAGCGUAUAUUAAAGUUGUUGCAGUUAAAAAGCUCGUAGUUGAAUUUCGGGGUUCUACCGUUGGUCGGGCUAUUGUCUGUACUGGCGUGUAGAAUUUCUACCUUCUGGGGAACUAUCAUGUUAUUAAUUUAGCGUGGUAGAAAACCAGGACCUUUACCUUGAAAAAAUUAGAGUGUUCAAAGCAGGCUUAUGUCUGAAUACAUUAGCAUGGAAUAAUAAAAUAGGACGGUGGUCCUGUUUUGUUGGUUUCUGAAUCACCGUAAUGAUUAAUAGGGAUAGUUGGGGGCAUUAGUAUUCAAUUGUCAGAGGUGAAAUUCUUGGAUUUAU